UUGAAUUUCGGGAUUGACACAUCGGUCGUGCCUUAAGGGGUAUGAACUGGUGUAGUCAGUUUCUCACCUUCUGGAGAACCGCGAUGUCCUUAAUUGGGUGCCGCGAGGAACCAGGACCUUUACUUUGAAAAAAUUAGAGUGCUUAAAGCAGGCAUUUUGCUUGAAUACGUUAGCAUGGAAUAAUAAAAUAGGACGGAUGGUUCUAUUUUGUUGGUUUCUAGGACCGCCGUAAUGAUUAAUAGGGACAUCGGGGGCAUCAGUAUUCAAUUGUCAGAGGUGAAAUUCUUGGAUUUAUUGAAGACUAACUACUGCGAAAGCAUUUGCCAAGGAUGUUUUCAUUAAUCAGGAACGAAAGUUAGGGGAUCGAAGACGAUCAGAUACCGUCGUAGUCUUAACCAUAAACUAUGCCGACUAGGGAUCGGACGAUGUUAUUUUUUGACUCGUUCGGCGCCUUACGGGAAAC
rnacentral:rRNA from 2 species